GCUCAGCUCUCAAGGAAGGCCUGGGGACAGGAUCAGAUGCCCUUGACAAGUGUCAGGCUGUCACUGAUGGCAGCAGCAUCUGCUUCCUACCCCCUGAAAACUCAGGAAUGGACACUUGGGGAAAAUAAAGGACAACCAUGCAGGUCACCGAAACACACCAGGACCCCAGGCUCAUUGCCCCAGACUUGGCUCCGGAGGCCAGUUCCACAGGGGUGGGGCGUGCCUCUCCCCACCCAACCAUCUGGGUCACAGCUUUGUUAAGUGUUUGUUUCUGAACAGGCUGACUUAAGCAGUGACUAAGCUUGGGAGUCAUAAAAGCUGGUAAUAAACCUGUCAGUGAGGCUGUGGGCCAGGCCAGGAUGCGGACCUCGGGUGUCUUUGCAGCUGGGCAAGGCCCCCAGGCAGUCCCUGCCUCAAAUGUGCUGAAACCCACAGAGCUUGCCAGGUCCUUUCUGGUGGGCCAGGAUCAUCCAGCUGGGGUCCACCUUGGAUAGAGGGCAAGGCUGAGCCCGGACAGGAAGAGGGGCCAAGAUCAGUGUGACCGGAUGACCUGGGCUCGAGCAUCCUCUGAAGCCCUGUCUGAAUCUAUGGGCAAGAAGCCCUGGGAAUUGAGGAAGGAGGUGUCUCCCUGGGGAUUUCCAACUCAGCUUGUUGCAACACCUUCUGUUCCCUGUCACGGUUUUCACAAACAGUGGCCGUGAAACCCACAGUCUGAAGAGCCUGACCUCAGCUCAGUUCAGCUCAGUUCAGCCGUGUGACUGGGGCAGGAAGCAUCACCUCCGUAAGCCUCAAUUUUGGGCAGCUGUAAAAUGGGAAUGAUAGUACCACCAAGCCCUGCCUGCCCCACAGGCAUCUGCCAGGCUCCAAUGGCAGAAAAUAUUCAGAGGAUUCGAAGAAGGACAAAGUGCCACAGAACAGUAAGGAAAAAUCUCUGAAUUCAACCCAUCAGACCUUUACCAAGUGCCAGCUUCAUGCCAGACAAUGUCUGGGCCCUGGAGAGGCAGAGACGAGGGACAGCUCUGGUUCCUGCCCUCCUCCAGCCUAGCACUCGGGGGAAGCUCGGAGGCGACAAAAAUGUACUCUAGUAGCAGCACAGUAAUAAUAUAGCUCAUCAGUGCGUGCUCACCGUGGCCCCGGCUUGAGCUGACUCCUUCAUCCACAUCUCAUCCUUGAAGAGUUACGCAGGACAUGCAUCGUUAUUUUCAUUUUGCAGGUGAUUCUAAUGUGCAGCCUUUGUUAACCACCAAACCAAUCACAGUAGCAAUUCCAUUCUCCCUGCUGGUGAUUGACUUAAGAAUGCACACAUGGCACAGUUAUGGCAUAAAAGGAGACGUGGAAGGAAGUCUGCUCCAUAUUCUUCAAAAGGGAUGUGAGGAAAAGCAUCUACACUGAAUUUGGCUUCCUUAGCGUUCCAGAGAGAACCCAACACCUUGUUGAUUAAGCCUAUGGGGUCUGGCCCUGAAGUCAGCUUGAGUUCAGGUAUGUGCUCCAUCAUUAAUCAGCUACGUGACUUCUGAAAUUUCUGAAAUUAUGUAAGCUUCCUCAGCCUCAGUUUGCUCAUCUGUAAUUUGGGGAUCAUCUUACCUAUUACCUUUUUCGGGUUUGACAUAUGGAUUUAAUGAGAUAAUAUUGCAAAAUAAAAUGCAAAAAUCCAUUUAACAACAAUAUUGGUGCCUAUAAGUGUUACUACUCAGUAUUGAGUCAGACACAGGGAGUCUGAAUUAUGAGAACACUCCUGACUUCUCUGUAAAGAUAACUCAGUAGUAAAACUAGCUGCCUUUGUAUGUUUAUAAUUGUUAAAGUCAAGAGAAAGCCUUUGCCAAGCUCUCUCGAUUCUUAUCUCAAGCAAUGUGGUCUCCAUGGCUCUUCCAGGGAACGGAACUAGCAUAACUUGCUACAUCCUCUAACAAAAAAGAGACGAGGGAUGAUCCAUGGUACAGUUACCUGGGCACAGCAUCCAUAUACGUGUCACCACAAGCCGUUCUUGCUGCUGCAAACUUGAAUACUCAGAGGUCUAGGGUGCCUGUUUCCUGACACAUGAUUCAUCAGGCUCAAGAUAUCCCACAAAGAUGCCUGUCUAUCCAUGUGUGUCUGUGAUGUCUGUCACCAUGGUACUCAGGAAUGCUUGGAGCUGCUGCCAUUUUUUCAAAUGUGGGUGAAAGUGGCUUCCUGGGCUCGGGGGCCUCUCCUGGUAACGUGUGGCUGAUAGGCUUAGGACCAGUCAAGGCAAGAAGUAGGUCUUCCUCUUCUGGAACAUCCUGAUCCCAGGCAUGCACCCGAGUUACACAUUCAAGGAGUUCCUAGGCCUACCCUACCUGCUCAGGAGCAGAGCCCUUUCCCCAGCCCCCAUCGCCUGCAGUAGGUGUGAGCAGUAUCCAGGCAGAGGGCCCCCCGGUGCUGAAGAUAUCCGCCUGGGCUCCCUGGGGCUCCAGCCUUUACGUUGGCCUUGCCAACAACCACAUGCUCACUACACUGUUCAGCAUGGCUGGUUCUGAGGGGUAAGAUGAGAUCUGAGGAGGCGAGUAUGUUCAUGUUUUACUUUAAUCACAUCUGGUCGAAUUUCUUGCGGUGAAAAUGUGUUCUGUGGGGGCGUCUGGCUGGCUUAGUCGUUAAAGCAUAUGAUUCUUGAUCUCAGGAUUGUGAGUUCGAGCCCCAUGUUGG